AUACGUAGGGUGCGAGCGUUGUCCGGAAUUACUGGGCGUAAAGAGCUCGUAGGUGGUUUGUCGCGUCGUCUGUGAAAUUCCGGGGCUUAACUCCGGGCGUGCAGGCGAUACGGGCAUAACUUGAGUACUGUAGGGGAGACUGGAAUUCCUGGUGUAGCGGUGAAAUGCGCAGAUAUCAGGAGGAACACCGGUGGCGAAGGCGGGUCUCUGGGCAGUAACUGACGCUGAGGAGCGAAAGCAUGGGUAGCGAACAGGAUUGGAUCCCCUGGUAGUCCAUGCCGUAACCGGUGGGCGCUAGGUGUAGGGGUCUUCCACGACUUCUGUGCCGUAGCUAACGCAUUAAGCGCCCCGCCUGGGGAGUACGGCCGCAAGGCUAAAACUCAAAUGAAUUGACGGGG
rnacentral:rRNA from 1 species